GGACGAACGCUGGCGGCGUGCUUAACACAUGCAAGUCGAACGGUGAAGCUCCAGCUUGCUGGAGUGGAUCAGUGGCGAACGGGUGAGUAACACGUGAGCAACCUGCCCCUGACUCUGGAAUAAGCGCUGGAAACGGCGUCUAAUACUGGAUACGAGAAGGGUCCGCAUGGGCACUUUCUGGAAAGUUUUUCGGUUGGGGAUGGGCUCGCGGCCUAUCAGCUUGUUGGUGAGGUAAUGGCUCACCAAGGCGACGACGGGUAGCCGGCCUGAGAGGGCGACCGGCCACACUGGGACUGAGACACGGCCCAGACUCCUACGGGAGGCAGCAGUGGGGAAUAUUGCACAAUGGGCGAAAGCCUGAUGCAGCGACGCCGCGUGAGGGAUGACGGCCUUCGGGUUGUAAACCUCUUUCAGCAGGGAAGAAGCGAAAGUGACGGUACCUGCAGAAGAAGCACCGGCUAACUACGU
rnacentral:rRNA from 1 species